AUUGCAUAAUAAUAGAUAAAAAAUAGUCUUAUACGUGUGAAAUUGAAAAUCCUAAUUUUAAAAUAAUAAGAAUAAAAAAAAUGAAGAAUAUUUAAUUCGAGUAAAACAGAUUUACCCAUAGAAUAAAAAUAAGCAGAAAUUCUAGAUUGGAAUUCAAGUGUGGAUGGACCACUUUUCCUUUAAGAAACUGGAGAUUGAAAGAUGAGAGAAGAGAGAGGCCAAGAGAGUGUUCUUUGAAGGAGAAAAAUUAGACCCAAAGACUUGAUUUUAAUAUUUCAAAAUAUGUAUUAUUAAGGUUUAAUUGUUGCCCAUUAA
rnacentral:misc_RNA from 1 species